ensembl:lncRNA
CUCUGGAUGUGAAUUUGCUGAAGAGGAGGCUUACUGGAAAAUCAUGCAACAUUCUUAAACUCUGGUGUGGACAACAGUGUGUCUCUUUCCAGGUCCACAGACCUUUCAGGACUCCACCUCUGUUCCUAGAAGAAGCUCUCACACUGCAGUAAUGAUCCUAUCUCCUUGACUACCAGCAGUUGUCCAUGCUUAUCAUCAGAAACAAGAAUGAAGAGCCUUGCAGAAGCUUAAAGUGGAAAUGGUGCUAUCCUAAAUGCUCAUCCUGCAUAAUCUUGGUGAAUUCAUACAACAGUCCUGUGCCUUGUGAGGUGUGGUGUUGACAGCAAUCACUCUACGAUGUGCAUCAAACAGAUGAGCUAGUCUGGAGGGUCUCAGAUGGAGCCACCCACACGCCUGGCACCUUGAUGGAUACGGUUCUACAGAGGCUGGGCUCAGCUGGGACUAUUGACUAGAGCAUCUACAUGUGGCCUCUCUAGCACUGGGGCCUCAAGAUAGGGACUUCUUACAUGGCCGCUCAGGGCUCUAAGAGAGAAUAUUACAAUGAAUAAGUUAGAAUAUGAUCUAGCCUCAGAAAUCACACAGUAUCACUUGUGCCAUAUGCUACUGGCCAAAUCAGUACCUUAU